CAGCUGUAUUCACUUUUCUUAUAAUUUAAUGUAUUCUCUCAUCAUUUUAUCCUUAUACAUUUUUUUGAACUUGUAAACAUUUGUACAACAUUUAAUUUCUUCAGUCAGUGCAUUCUAAAACUUAACUCCAUACACAGAGGGACACUUUGGUUUCAUAAUGAUUUGUGAGAACUUAACCUGAAAGUUAUAUUUUCUUGUAUGGCAAGUGGCCUGAACAUUUUGAAUU